CAACAGGUCUUGGGUAUCCAAGAAGCAAUGGUGAGUGUGAGGCUUAGCCGUCCAUAAGCAUCUGAAAGCUCCUGACCCCAUCUCCCUCUCCUCCCUCUCCCACUUGACAUUACUAUAAAAUCCAGGUAAGAACAUACCUAUUACAGGUACUGCCCUCAUCCCUUCCUAUCACUCUAUGCCAUCACCAUGCCAACUUCUCCCCUGCAGGGUACUGGAGUCCAACCAAGUAUCCCCUCCAGAGAGAGACCAGAAGACCUGCUCCUGUCUCCUCUCCUGAGGUCCUGGCGGACACAGACUCACCACUUCCAAGCCGAGAUGAAGAACCUGAGAGCUGAAGCCUGGGAGGCGUGAGGCUGGGGCUGGGGCUGGGGCAGUGAUGCCCUCAGAUGCCCUCCUUACUCUGCACUUAAAUACAAAGACCUCCCCCAAAGUUUUUCUCAGCCGAACCCCAGUCCAUGCUGCCACCGCCCGGCCGCUGAACGUGAGGGAAGACCAGGGAAAGAUGACACCAGAAGCAUGUGUGGAUUUCGGCCCUUUGACUCCUGAGUCCAGGUUUGCUCUUCUCCCUCCUGCUCAGAGUUCACACCCACCUCUGAAUAAAUUUGACCCUGCCAAUAAUUCCUGUGUGAGCUCCUUGGACACUGUGAUAAGGUGGCAGACAACUGGACCCUCUACAGACCCAAUUGUAGGCCUCCGCGUCCCACCAACCCCCUUCUGCCACCAUGGCCAGGCUCAGUGGACAGCAAGGGCCAGGGAGGCCGUGGAGCCUCAGAGAAGAAUAUCCUGGUUUCAUCAGGAAAGAAAACAUGGGCCAGGGCAGCGAGAAGAGAGGGCAGAAGUCUGA
rnacentral:lncRNA from 1 species